GAUGACCCCUAGCGGGAAGCCUUACACAUGCAAGUCGAACGGCAGCGCGAGGAAAGCUUGCUUUCCUUGGCGGCGAGUGGCGAACGGGUGAGUAAUGUAUCGGAACGUGCCCAGUAGCGGGGGAUAACCACUCGAAAGAGUGGCUAAUACCGCAUACGCCCUUCGGGGGAAAGGGGGGGAUUCUUUCGGGAACCUCUCACUAUUGGAGCGGCCGAUAUCGGAUUAGCUAGUUGGUGGGGUAAAGGCUCACCAAGGCCACGAUCCGUAGCUGGUUUGAGAGGACGGCCAGCCACACUGGGACUGAGACACGGCCCAGACUCCUACGGGAGGCAGCAGUGGGGAAUUUUGGACAAUGGGGGGAACCCUGAUCCAGCAAUCCCGCGUGUGCGAUGAAGGCCUUCGGGUUGUAAAGCACUUUUAGCAGGGAAGAAACAGCGCCGGUUAAUACCCGGCGUCACUGACGGUACCUGCAGAAUAAGCACCGGCUAACUACGUGCCAGCAGCCGCGGUAAUACGUAGGGUGCAAGCGUUAAUCGGAAUUACUGGGCGUAAAGCGUGCGUCGGCGGUUUGGCAAGAAAGGUGUGAAAUCCCAGAGCUUAACUUUGGAACUGCACUUUUAACUGCCAGGCUAGAGUAUGUCAGAGGGGGGUAGAAUUCCGCGUGUAGCAAUGAAAUGCC
rnacentral:rRNA from 1 species